CGAAAGAGUAGCUAAUACCGCAUACUAUCUGAGGAUGAAAGCGGGGGACCUUCGGGCCUCGCGCGAUUGGAGCGGCCGAUGGCAGAUUAGGUAGUUGGUGGGAUAAAAGCUUACCAAGCCGACGAUCUGUAGCUGGUCUGAGAGGACGACCAGCCACACUGGGACUGAGACACGGCCCAGACUCCUACGGGAGGCAGCAGUGGGGAAUUUUGGACAAUGGGCGAAAGCCUGAUCCAGCAAUGCCGCGUGCAGGAUGAAGGCCUUCGGGUUGUAAACUGCUUUUGUACGGAACGAAAAAGCUCCUUCUAAUACAGGGGGCCCAUGACGGUACCGUAAGAAUAAGCACCGGCUAACUACGUGCCAGCAGCCGCGGUAAUACGUAGGGUGCGAGCGUUAAUCGGAAUUACUGGGCGUAAAGCGUGCGCAGGCGGUUAUGUAAGACAGAUGUGAAAUCCCCGGGCUCAACCUGGGAACUGCAUUUGUGACUGCAUGGCUAGAGUACGGUAGAGGGGGAUGGAAUU
rnacentral:rRNA from 1 species